CCUACGGGUGGCAGCAGUGAGGAAUAUUGGUCAAUGGACGAAAGUCUGAACCAGCCAUGCCGCGUGCAGGAAGACGGCUCUACGGGUUGUAAACUGCUUUUGUCGGAGAGUAAACCGCGGUACGUGUGUCUGGUUGAGAGUACCCUACGAAUAAGGAUCGGCUAACUCCGUGCCCGCAGCCGCGGUAAUACGGAGGAUGCGAGCGUUAUCCGGAUUUAGUGGGGUUAAGGGGUGCGUAGGCGGUUGGAUAAGUUAGAGGUGAAAUGCCGGGGCUCAACUCCGAAACUGACGCUGAUACUGUUGGGCUAGAGAGUAGUUGCGGUAGGCGGAAUGUAUGGUGUAGCGGUGAAAUGCUUAGAGAUCAUACAGAACACCGAUUGCGAAGGCAGCUUACCAAGCUAUAUCUGACGUUGAGGCACGAAAGCGUGGGGAGCAAACAGGAUUAGAUACCCGAGUAGUC
rnacentral:rRNA from 1 species